GAUGAACGCUGGCGGCGUGCCUAAUACAUGCAAGUCGAGCGAACGGACGAGAAGCUUGCUUCUCUGAUGUUAGCGGCGGACGGGUGAGUAACACGUGGAUAACCUACCUAUAAGACUGGGAUAACUUCGGGAAACCGGAGCUAAUACCGGAUGAUAUUUUGAACCGCAUUGUUCAAAAGUGAAAGACGGUCUUGCUGUCACUUAUAGAUGGAUCCGCGCUGCAUUAGCUAGUUGGUAAGGUAACGGCUUACCAAGGCAACGAUGCAUAGCCGACCUGAGAGGGAGAUCGGCCACACUGGAACUGAGACACGGUCCAGACUCCUACGCGAGGCAGCAGUAGGGAAUCUUCCGCAAUGGGCGAAAGGCUGACGGAGCAACGCCGCGUGAGUGAUGAAGGUCUUCGGAUCGUAAAACUCUGUUAUUAGGGAAGAACAUAUGUGUAAGUAACUGUGCACAUCUUGACGGUACCUAAUCAGAAAGCCACGGCUAACUACGUG
rnacentral:rRNA from 1 species